ACUCAAAGGAAUUGACGGGGGCCCGCACAAGCGGUGGAGCAUGUGGUUUAAUUCGAUGCAACGCGAAGAACCUUACCGGGGUUUGACAUGGGAGCCUCGCCGCAAGGCGAGGUCAGCCCUAUGAAAGUAGGGUGUGUCCACACAGGUGCUGCAUGGCUGUCGUCAGCUCGUGUCGUGAGAUGUUGGGUUAAGUCCCGCAACGAGCGCAACCCUCGCCGAUAGUUACCAACGGGUCAUGCCGGGGACUCUAUCGGGACUGCCGGUGAUAAACCGGAGGAAGGUGGGGAUGAUGUCAAGUCAUCAUGGCCCUUACAUCCCGGGCUACACACGUGCUACAAUGGUCGGUACAGCGGGUUGCAAUACCGCGAGGUGGAGCAAAUCCUCAAAGCCGGCCUCAGUACGGAUUGGAGUCUGCAACUCGACUCCAUGAAGCCGGAAUCGCUAGUAAUCGCGGAUCAGAAUGCCGCGGUGAAUACGUUCCCGGGCCUUGUACACACCGCCCGU
rnacentral:rRNA from 1 species